rnacentral:lncRNA from 1 species
CACAGCAUCGUCAUUUGCUAAGCUCUAGUCACUAGGGGGAGCUCUGGCCCUCAAAAAGCAUUUGGCUUCAGCCUGUAAUCAGUCUGUAACCUAAGAGUGCGUGACAAGACUGCUCAUAACGUGACUCCGUCUUUUCAAUGCAGGCAACUACACAGGGAACAAUGAAACCAAAGUAUGGGACACAAGGACAACACUGUCUAGCUAAUGAACGAUCCCAGCUCCCUCACAAGGUAGGUAAAAAUAAUUGCCCCCAUUUUAAACAGAGACGAAAGUCGCCUACACUUAAUUUUCAGGUAUGUGCAGAAAUGAUUUCCUGAAAAUGGACGGACUGCCGAGUCAGCUCAAUGAGAGGCACCCAGUGGGCCAGCUGCAGAGCUCAGAUUAGAACUCAGGAGCACCUGGCUCCUCAUCCCAGGAGCAGACCGCUAAGCAGUGUCGCCUCUCUGGUCAGUCUCUCUCUUCGUAAAUCAUCCACACAGAAGGAGGGAACAAAGAGCGAGACCUUGUC